rnacentral:sRNA from 2 species
UCAUAGCCCAGAUUGAAGUGAAAAGCCCGAUAGCUAUCGGGAUGUAACGGAAAGCUGGAUUAGCU